rnacentral:rRNA from 1 species
GACGUAGGGGGCCAGCGUUGCUCGGAAUUACUGGGCGUAAAGGGUUCGUAGGCGGUGCGGCAAGUCGGAAGUGAAAUCUCCAGGCUCAACUUGGAGGCUGCUCCCGAAACUGCCGUGCUAGAGUGCGGGAGAGGCCAGUGGAAUUGCAGGUGUAGCGGUGAAAUGCGUAGAUAUCUGCAGGAACACCCGUGGCGAAGGCGGCUGGCUGGACCGCAACUGACGCUGAGGAACGAAAGCUAGGGGAGCAAACAGG